UAGUGUUCAUCGUGCGAUCAGAUGGCACCAGGAGGAGUGGCGCCCCUGGCCAGUGGGAGACGUAGCAGUGCAGGAGGGGAGACCCUGGAGGAGAGAGCCCACCUAAAUUGAUGCCUGCUGAUUGAAUUUCCAGGCUUAGGAUGAGGAGGAGUUCUCCA
rfam:Procavia capensis cont1.73710, whole genome shotgun sequence.